GCAGCUGACGGAUCACAGUCACGUGACCCCCCUGAGCGGCGAGGAACAGAGGCGUGGCGCCGUCCUGAAACGCCGAGACUCAUCUGGCACACUUUUCCAUUUAUGUUGUCAGAAAUGAAUCUGACUGAGCAGCAAAAACCUGAGAGGCCGGAUUCCACCGACAUUGUGACGACACUAACCGCCGCGUUCCAGAAAGAGGCUGGAGGUGUGGCUCACAUGCAGCUGGUCGUGAACGUUGGCGCCGUUCUUCAGCAGGGUCUCCACCACCUUGGCGUGUCCGUACUGAGAGGCCGCGGUGAGGGCGCCGCCCCCGUCCUGCCACAAGAGAAACACAACCAUGUCCGCACGCCACCACGGCCUCGUUGUCAGGCUGAAUCCGUCUCACGGGACGUCGGCACGCCCAUCGUACCUUCGUCUGGAACUCGGUGGAGGCUCCGAACUCAAAGAGCAGCUUCACGACGUCAUCGUGUCCCUGCUGGGAGGCGAAGAACAGGGCGGAGGAGCCCGUCUGGAGGCGGCGGAAAGAGAUCUCUAUUAGUUUGUACGUAUUUUAAUAGAAACACAGUCAAUCAAACUGCUCGUUAGUCUUAUUAAGGAAUCUGUAAGUUUGCAUUAAUCAUGACAAGGUUUUUCUUAACGGAAUAUAACGUUUAUAAGAAGGAGAAAAUAACUCCUGUUUCAUACGAUAAAAUCUAGGGAAAGAAAAGCAUGUCGCAUAAAGACAAGAAGCUUGUUCACUUUCAUCCUUGAAAAACUGACUCGUGUAAAAACGACAUCCUCUGUUCGAGGAUCUAUUCGUGUGAGCGGCGACUUGCUGGUGACCUCAGACAGAAUCACGGCGCCCUGCGGCUGGUGGUCCGUAGAACUCGUUCACCACCGUACCUCUCGCUGGUAGUUGAUGUCGGCUCCCUGCAUGAUCAGCUGUUUGACGCAGUCACAAUGGCCGCUGUAGGACGCCACCAUCAGCGCCGUGGAGCCGGACUGGAAAGAAACACGGCAACAAUCGAUCAGCUGAGGGACAAAUGGAUUUAAUGAGAGGCGUGAUUAAAAAACAGUUUAGCUCCAGCGGGGUACUUUAGUUUAAGUUGGACAAAGUCUAACACGUAGAACUAGAACAGCAACAUUUGGUGUUUUGAGGAUUGAAAAGGGAAAAUACACAAUAUGAGGAUUCACUUUAAAUCGUGUAUUUUGGAUUCUUUGUUCAUCUCAAUGUUCAUGUCUCAGGUUUAGUGAGGAGCUCCAUGUGAAGCAGGUAAAACAGUUUAGUCCCUCCCCUAAUGAGCGCUUGAAGCCCCUCCCCCUUUAUAAAGGUGACAACAAAACAACACGUGACACGCGGGGGGCGGGGUUACGGUAAGCGCGUGCACAGCAUCCGGACACGCCGCGCGCGUACACUGUCUCUGCAGUCCGCGUCCACGCGCCCGCUGUUGAGCAGCAGCUGGAGGAGAGGCGCGUUCCCCUUCCGCGCGGCCCAGAACGCGGCGUUGGCCAGAGGCGUUUCCUUCUGGGGGGGUGAAGACACACAACGUCCACCCGCUUCUUUAGAAUGAACAACAACAACAACACACACAGCACGCGCAUGCACACACGGAUUUCUCACGAGGGCUCUCCAGCACGCGCACGGAGAAUGAAGGCGCGCGAGGAGCAGAAGAGAAGACGGGUUUUUACCUUGAAAGACAUCGUGACGCAUUUGUGACGCUGUUUGGGAGCCGAGUCGUGAUGACGAGUGAGCUGCGCUCACCGGGCCGCUGGGUGGCGCUGCUGCAGCCGCACAAUAAAUGCAUGAACAUGA